CCGACGUGCCUGUGACGAGCCGCCCCAUUUAUAGCCUGCCUCUGUCCGUAAUGGCUCGUGUUGAGGAGCAAAAUGAAUCAGCCGCAGACCGUAGCAUCUAAUCCGACCACGUGAGCUCCUGCAAAUCCUUCUAGCUUACCGCAAUUUGUUGCCGGAGUUGGUCCCCCGCGGCACCCUCUCUCGCCGGCCUAUAAAAAGGCACCCUGAGCCAAUGUGUAGCCACCAAACGAACCACACCUCACCAUAACCUCGCCGAAACCCUCAGAAGGCCUCUGGAGGGCCUUCUUCCCCGCCUCCGGCCGCCCGAUUUGCUUCGGUCCUCGGCAAAAUUUGCCCAUGUGGAUGCAUCCCAGUGGCCCAGUUCUUGCCAGCAAGAUCCUCGAGCAGUAUCCCUUCUAACCCGCGCGAGGAUUCUCUGAGUGCAGGCCUCUCUAUCGAGAUCCCGCUGCACCCGAAAUGCUGCUCGCCGGAGUUUUGAGCUGUCAUCGAUGUGGUGGCCGCCGGCGAGUGCCUCCACCUCCAUCAGCUGCAGAACCUCCUUGUGAGUGCACCCGCAUGCCUCUUCCAGUGUGGUUCGUCGCAGGAUGCCGUCGACGGCACUACGAGCUUCAUCCGCCGCCGAGGUGAAGGAGACCUCAUGGAUGAAGAGUAUGAUAGCGAGUCCAAUGCCUAGAGGAGUCCCGGUCAGUCUUGUGAUCUUGGAGUCUGCCGUUGUAUUAUUUCACCACUUCCGCCACCACAAAUAAAUAGUCAAGCCUCACUCCCAUGCUUGCCAUGUAGUAGUACUUAAGCCGUGUCACUUCGCUCUGAUGUGGCAUGCCUACAUUUUAUGCGAGCAGUAGAGCUACCCAUGACCAUUGUGAUAUAUCCGCCCUUAUAUUAAGUAUGGGUGCGUUGUAAUAAACCAUAGAGCGACCUCUGCUCUUCCAUGUUUAAUAUUAAGUACUACUGGUUUUCUAUA